AAAUGCGAUAAGUAGUGUGAAUUGCAGAAUUCAGUGAAUCAUCGAAUCUUUGAACGCACAUUGCGCCCCUUGGUAUUCCAUGGGGCAUGCCUGUUCGAGCGUCAUUUGUACCUUCAAGCUCUGCUUGGUGUUGGGUGUUUGUCUCGCCUCUGCGCGCAGACUCGCCUCAAAACAAUUGGCAGCCGGCGUAUUGAUUUCGGAGCGCAGUACAUCUCGCGCUUUGCACUCAGAACGACGACGUCCAAAAGUACAUUUUUACACUCUUGACCUCGGAUCAGGUAGGGAUACCCGCUGAACUUAAGC
rnacentral:misc_RNA from 1 species